rnacentral:rRNA from 1 species
AUGUCCUGGAACAUCCGGGGCUUGAACUACCCAGCUCGUCGCUCGGCAAUCCGCGAAGUAGUGCAAGCACAUAGAGUUUUGGUACUUUGUCUCCAGGGAACUAAAGUAGAAUCGUGGUCAUCGUCGCUAGCAUGUGAGGUAGGAGGCCCAAAUCUGCAGGGCUGCAUUGUGUUACCGGCAAUAGGCACGAGAGGUGGCGCGGCGAUCUUCUGGGACAAGCUAGUUGUCAACAUCACCUCACAUAGGAUAGGUAGAUUCGCGAUCACGGCUAGAAUAGAUCUUCUCUCCAGUAGUGUAGGAUUCUGGCUUACCAUAGUUUAUGGACCGACUGAUGAUGCUCAAAAGGAGGAUUUCCUAUCUGAACUAGCUGAUGCUGCGCCCCCGACAGGUGAACCGUGGCUCAUCAAUGGGGACUUCAACAUGAUUUACCAGGCAAGAGACAAGAACAACUCCAACCUGAACAGGAGGAUGAUAGGGAAAUUCAGGAGAGCGAUCGAUGCAGCUGAUUUGAGAGAGGUCAAAUGCAAGAACUGCGGAUUCACCUGGAGAAACGAACGAGAAGACCCAACCCUUUGCAGCAUUGACAAAUUUUUCUGCAAUUCUUAG